rfam:Schistosoma mansoni strain Puerto Rico chromosome 7, complete genome
UCCAGCGACCAUAGCACGUUGAAAACACCGGUUCUCGUCCGAUCACCGCAGUUAAGCAACGUUGAGCCCGAUCAGUACUUGCAUGGGUGAUCAAAUUCAUAAAUCAUUCACUUAAU